rnacentral:rRNA from 1 species
AUUGAACGCUGGCGGCAUGCCUUACACAUGCAAGUCGAACGGCAGCACGGGAGCAAUCCUGGUGGCGAGUGGCGAACGGGUGAGUAAAGUAUCGGAACGUGCCCAGUCGUGGGGGAUAACGUAGCGAAAGUUACGCUAAUAACGCAUACGAUCUAUGGAUGAAAGCGGGGGAUCGCAAGACCUCGCGCGAUUGGAGCGGCCGAUAUCAGAUUAGGUAGUUGGUGGGGUAAAGGCUCACCAAGCCGACGAUCUGUAGCUGGUCUGAGAGGACGACCACCCACACUGGGCCUGGGACACGGCCAGACCUCCUACGCGAUGCAGCAGUGGGGAAUUUUGGACAAUGGCCGAAAGCCUGAUUCAGCCAUGCCGCGUGCAGGAUGAAGGCCGUCGGGUUGUAAACUGCUUUUGUACGGAACGAAAAGGUUUGGCCUAAUAAGCUGAGCUCAUGACGGUACCGUAAGAAUAAGCACCGGCUAACUACGUGCCAGCAGCCGCGGUAA